CUGUGUCCUUAAUUUUUUUCACAUUAAUAGUCAAAUUGUAUAUCAUUUAACAUUUUUUUCCAACAGAUCACUAGAUAUUUUAAUCCUUUUUAGGCCUCAAAGGAAAAUUUAAAAACUCUUAAAAUUUAUUUCAUUUUAUAUUAUACAAGGAAAUAGAAUUAGGAAGAGUAAUUUAUGGUACUUCAGAUUUUUACAUUACUUGUAAAUUUUAAUAGCUGAUCAACUGUUAAAUAUACCUUUGAUAGUACUAGAUCUAAGUCAGUUAAUCUGAAACCAUUUGAAAUACUGGUUAAGUAGUUUAUAGUAUUUGGUUGCAAGGAAAUCUAUGAAGCAAACCAUGAUAGAUAGCAAAUAAAAAAUUAUGCAUACUGUGUCUGGUUAUUUUCAUACAACCUUGAUUAUGGUAAAGAAUCAUAGUUAUUGAAUUUUUAAAUGAUGGUAUUUCAAAUCACUAUGAUUAAAGCACACUAAAGUAAAUGUUAAAGACACAACAAUUAUAAUUCACAUCUUCAGAAUAAUGGAAACAUUUUAUGAUUGAUG
rnacentral:lncRNA from 1 species